rnacentral:misc_RNA from 1 species
GAUGAGAUUUGGUAUUCUUGCCAAGAUGACCCCAGACUUCAUCCUUGUUAAAUUUCUCAUUCAUUGCCGUGAAGUCAAAAUCUUCUGUAAAUCUUUCUGUUUGAUGCGAGUUCCCAAAUCGUUUUCCUCUACCACGUCCCCUGUGGAUGUACCGAGUUUGCGAAGUUGAACCAUUUGGCUUAUGAAUAGCUUGUGAAGCCACUGGUAACGGUAAUAAU